ACAAUGGAGAGUUUGAUCCUGGCUCAGGAUGAACGCUAGCGGGAGGCCUAACACAUGCAAGCCGAGCGGUAGAGUAUCUUCGGAUACUUGAGAGCGGCGCACGGGUGCGGAACACGUGUGCAACCUGCCUUUAUCUGGGGGAUAGCCUUUCGAAAGGAAGAUUAAUACCCCAUAAUAUAUUUGAUGGCAUCAUUAGAUAUUGAAAACUCCGGUGGAUAGAGAUGGGCACGCGCAAGAUUAGUUAGUUGGUGAGGUAACGGCUCACCAAGGCGAUGAUCUUUAGGGGGCCUGAGAGGGUGAUCCCCCACACUGGUACUGAGACACGGACCAGACUCCUACGGGAGGCAGCAGUGAGGAAUAUUGGACAAUGGGUUAGCGCCUGAUCCAGCCAUCCCGCGUGAAGGACGACGGCCCUAUGGGUUGUAAACUUCUUUUGUAUAGGGAUAAACCUACUCUCGUGAGAGUAGCUGAAGGUACUAUACGAAUAAGCACCGGCUAACUCCGUGCCAGCAGCCGCGGUAAUACGGAGGGUGCAAGCGUUAUCCGGAUUUAUUGGGUUUAAAGGGUCCGUAGGCGGAUCUGUAAGUCAGUGGUGAAAUCUCAUAGCUUAACUAUGAAACUGCCAUUGAUACUGCAGGUCUUGAGUAAAUUUGAAGUGGCUGGAAUAAGUAGUGUAGCGGUGAAAUGCAUAGAUAUUACUUAGAACACCAAUUGCGAAGGCAGGUCACUAAGAUUUAACUGACGCUGAUGGACGAAAGCGUGGGGAGCGAACAG
rnacentral:rRNA from 1 species